rnacentral:rRNA from 1 species
GGCGGCAUGCCUAACACAUGCAAGUCGAACGGCAGCACGGGUGCUUGCACCUGGUGGCGAGUGGCGGACGGGUGAGUAAUGCGUAGGAAUCUGUCCAAUAGUUUGGGACAACCCAGGGAAACUUGGGCUAAUACCGGAUACGUCCUGAGGGAGAAAGCGGGGGAUCUUUGGACCUCGUGCUAUUGGAGGGGCCUACGUUCGAUUAGCUAGUUGGCAGGGCUAAGGGCCUACCAAGGCGACGAUCGAUAGCUGGUCUGAGAGGAC